rnacentral:rRNA from 1 species
GACGAACGCUGGCGGCGUGCUUAACACAUGCAAGUCGAACGGAAAGGCCUGCUUUCCCUUGUGGAUUGCGGGUACUCGAGUGGCGAACGGGUGAGUAACACGUGAGUGAUCUGCCCCCAACUUGGGUAUAAGCCUGGGAAACUGGGUCUAAUUCCCGAUAGGACUGCAGGGUGGUGCCUGUGGUGGAACACGAUGUUCUAGUGGUUGGGGAUGAGCUCGCGGCCUAUCAGCUUGUUGGUGGGGUAAUGGCCUACCAAGGCGGCGACGGGUAGCCGGCCUGAGAGGGUGGACGGCCACAUUGGGACUGAGAUACGGCCCAGACUCCUACGGGAGGCAGCAGUGGGGAAUAUUGCACGAUGGGCGGAAGCCUGAUGCAGCGACGCCGCGUGGGGGAUGACGGCCUUCGGGUUGUAAACUCCUUUCGACCGCGAGGAAGCCACCUGGUUGGAAGGGUGGUGACGGUAGUGGUAGAAGAAGCACCGGCUAACUACGUG